rnacentral:rRNA from 1 species
GUCUAUGGCCAUGCUACCCUGAACAAGCCUGAUCCCAUCUGAUCUUGGAAGCUAAGCAGGGUCAGGCCUGGUUAGUACUUGGCUGGGAGACCAUCUAGGAAGACCAGGUGCUGUAGGCU